rnacentral:rRNA from 1 species
GAGCACGUAGGUGGGUUUGUAAGUCAGAUGUGAAAGCCUUCUGUUCAACGGAAGAAUUGCAUCUGAAACUACAAACCUUGAGUGUAGGAGGGGAGAAUGGAACUUCUGGUGGAGCGGUGAAAUGCGUAGAUAUCAGAAGGAACGCCGGCGGCGAAAGCGAUUCUCUGGCCUAUUACUGACACUGAGUGUGCGAAAGCUAGGGGAGCAAACGGGAUUAGAUACCCCGGUAGUCCUAGCCGUAAACGAUGGGCACUAAGUAGAGGGAAUUACCGAUGUUCUCUCUGCCGUAGCUAACGCAUUAAGUGCCCCGCCUGGGGAGUACGGCCGCAAGGCUAAAACUCAAAAGAAUUGACGGGGGCUCGCACAAGCGGUGGAGCAUGUGGCUUAAUUCGAUGCAACGCGAAAAACCUUACCGGGGCUUGACAUGGUAGAAGUAGGAACCCGAAAGGGGAACGAAUGGUAUCCAGUCCAUAGCUAUUACAGGUGUUGCAUGGCUGUCGUCAGCUCGUGUCGUGAGACGUUGGGUUAAGUCCCCUAACGAGCGAAACCCUUGUUUUUAGUUACCAGCGGGUUGUGCCGGGUACUCUAGAAAGACUGCCGUCGUCAAGACGGAGGAAGGUGGGGAUGACGUCAAGUCAUCAUGGCCCUUAUGCCCCGGGCUGCACACGUGCUACAAUGGUCGGUACAAACGGAAGCGAAGCCGAGAGGUGAAGCGAAUCC